rnacentral:rRNA from 1 species
AGAUGGGCUCGCGUCUGAUUAGCUAGUUGGUGAGGUAACGGCCCACCAAGGCGACGAUCAGUAGCCGGCUUGAGAGAGUGAACGGCCACACUGGAACUGAGAUACGGCCCAAACUCCUACGGGAGGCAGCAGUAGGGAAUUUUCGGCAAUGGGGGGAACCCUGACCGAGCAAUGCCGCGUGAUUGAAGAAGAUCUUCGGAUCGUAAAGAUCUGUUAUUAGGGAAGAAUGGAAUUGAUAGGAAAUGAUCAAUUUAUGACGGUGCCUAAUGAGGAAGCCCCGGCUAACUAUGUGCCAGCAGCCGCGGUAAUACAUAGGGGGCGAGCGUUAUCCGGAAUUAUUGGGCGUAAAGGGUACGUAGGCGGGCCUGCAAGUCUGAUUUGAAAGCACACGGCUUAACCGUGUGAGGUAAUUAGAAACUACAGGUCUAGAGAGUGGUAGAGGUAAAUGGAAUUCCAAGUGGAGCGGUGAAAUGCGUAGAGAUUUGGAGGAACACCAGUGGCGAAGGCGGUUUACUGGGCCACAUCUGACGCUAAUGUACGAAAGCGUGGGGAGCAAACAGGAUUAGAUACCCUGGUAGUCCACGCCGUAAACGAUGAGUGCUAAGUAUCGGUAGAUUCGGUGCUUAAGCUAACGCAGUAAGCACUCCGCCUGGGGAGUACGGUCGCAAGACUGAAACUCAAAGGAAUUGACGGGGACUCGCACAAGCGGUGGAGCAUGCGGUUUAAUUCGAUGCAACGCGAAGAACCUUACCAGGUCUUGACAGUGUAAAGAAUACUUAAGAGAUUAAGGGCUAAGAAUUAAGCUUGCUUAUUUCACUUUAUAAACAGGUGGUGCAUGGUUGUCGUCAGCUCGUGUCGUGAGAUGUUGGGUUAAGUCCCGCAACGAGCGCAACCCCUAUUGCUAGUUGCCAUCAUUAAGUUGGGCACUCUAGCAAGACUGCCGGUGACAAAUCGGAUGAAGGUGGGGAGGACGUCAAAUCAUCAUGCCCCCUAUGACCUGGGCUACACGCGUGCUACAAUGGCUAAUACAAAGAGUUGCAAAACCGUGAGGUAGAGCUAAUCUCAUAAAGUUAGUCUCAGUUCGGAUUGUAGUCUGCAACUCGACUACAUGAAGUUGGAAUCGCUAGUAAUCGUAGGUCAGCAUACUGCGGUGAAUACGUUCCCGGGCCUCGUACUCACCGCC